CGGGGCGUAGUAUAUCGGCAGUACGUACCCUUCGGGAGGGUAAAGGCCGAGUUCGAUUCUCGGCGCCCCGA
rnacentral:tRNA from 1 species